CACCACCACCACCUCACCCUCGAGACUUCACCAAAAAAAUCGGGUCCAUUAAGUCUACGGUCACCGGUUACCUCCGUAUUCCAUACGUAUAAUCUUCGGAUUUUCUCCUGUACUCUUUUGGAAUUUAGGAUCAUCACAGGGUUUCUCCUCAGGAUCCUCAUUUGUUUUCAUGGAAUAAUCAUCAUUCGACGUUAUCGGUUUUUACGGAAGGUGGUAUUUGACUUUGAAGCCAUAAAGAGUUUAUUGUUCUGAUGGAGGUGGAUGGGUCUAUGUAUUUGGUGGAUUGAUGAGGUAGCGGCUUGAUACAGCUCUUUUGUUGGUGGCUUUUUGUGAUUUUGAAUGGGUUUUUUAUUUUAAUGGAGGCGGAAAAUUGAUUUGUGUGUGUCUGAUUUCUAGUGGUUUUUUUGUGAACGGGUUUUGAUGGGUUUGAAGGGAAUUCCUGUUUGGAGCUUUGCAACAUUAGGAUCGUUUGAGAAAAAGAAUUCUGAUCUGAAGGGCUGUUUCUGUGCUGAGGACGAAGGAGAAGAAUAAGGAGGUUUGAAGUUGUAAAGCCUUUUAGGGUUUUCAGGGCGCUUCUGGGGCAAUGGAAGACGCUAAUUCUUGGAUUCGAAGAACAAAGUUUUCUCAUACUAUUUUUCAUAGGUUGGAUUCGACAAGGUUGGCCUCCUUCCCUUUAACCAUUAGCCCGGAAAGAAAUUCGGGUUUGAAAUCGAGGCCGCAGAGAGGUUCUCUAAAUCUUAAAUCGGAACCUAGUGAUCCACAGGGUAGGAGAAAUGCUUUUACAAACAAGCAGAGGUCUUUAUCGCCCCUCCCCGAAUCCAAACUUUCUGAUGAGUUUAAGGAAGCUCGGUCUGAUCGGAAGAGGUUCUCCACUCCAGUUCCUCGAAGAAAGGAACACGAAAAAGGAAUUAUGGGCAAAUUGUUUUCCAAAGAUUCACAAGACCCCAAGGCAAGCAAUUCAAAUAAACAGUCCAAUACUAGCCCUCUUAGGCACUUGACUUCUACCAAAAAUCAUGAUAAAGCAAAGUUCAGGAAGGAGCCAUCUUGGAUAAAGUAUUUCGAUCAUGGAGGGGGGAGGGUUACAGCUGUGGGAGCUGCAGAUGAAUGGAUGGCUGAUCUCUCUAAGUUGUAUCUGGGGCUUAGGUUUUCUCAUGGGGCCCAUAGUCGAUUAUACCAUGGGGUUUAUGAGGAACAACCUGUUGCAGUGAAAGUUAUCAUGGUGCCAGAUGAAGAGGAGAAUGGGGUCUUGGCUUCUAAGUUAGAGAAGCAAUUCAAUGGGGAAGUCUCUUGUCUUUCUCGUCUCCACCAUCAAAAUGUCAUAAAGUUUGUAGCAGCAUGGAGAAGGCCACCUGUUUUUGUUGUCAUCACGGAGUAUCUUUCAGAGGGUUCAUUGAGGGCAUAUUUGCACAAGCUUGAACAUAAGUCUCUUCCCUUGGAGAAACUAAUCACCAUUGCCCUGGAUAUUGCUCGAGGAAUGGAAUACAUCCAUUCACAAGGCAUCAUUCAUCGGGAUCUCAAACCUGAGAAUGUCCUUGUUACUAAAGACUUCCACAUGAAAAUUGCAGAUUUUGGGAUAGCUUGUGAAGAAGCAUAUUGUGAUUCUCUGGCUGAUGAUCCAGGGACUUAUCGAUGGAUGGCUCCUGAAAUGAUCAAACAUAAGUCAUAUGGACGGAAGGUUGAUGUGUACAGUUUCGGACUUAUCUUAUGGGAAAUGGUGGCUGGAACUAUCCCUUAUGAGGAUAUGGCACCCAUCCAAGCUGCUUUUGCUGUAGUGAAUAAGAACUUAAGACCCGUGAUUCCAGUUGACUGUCCCCCUGCCAUGCGAGCUCUGAUUGAGCAAUGUUGGUCCUUGCAUCCAGAUAAGAGACCUGAGUUUUGGCAGGUUGUGAAGGUAUUAGAGCAAUUUAAGUCUUCACUUGCUCUUGAUGGAACCCUGAACCUGGUACGAUAUGUAACUUGUCAAGAUCAUAAGAAAGGCCUUCUUCAUUGGAUACAAAAGCUGGGUCCCGUGCAUCAUAAUACUUCAUCCAUGCCUAAACCUAAAUUCACAUGAAUCUUCUGUAUGGCCUGGCUUUUGUAGUUUCCCAGGGUACAAUGUAAUUAAAAAGGUGGAGUUCUCAUGCACAAGUUAACCACUCUGUGGAGACUUACCCAAUCAUGACUGGAUCAAGCUCUUCCUGCCUUUCAUCCGACAGACAACUGGAGACAAGCCCACCCCUGAAUCAAGAAUCAAGGAUCAAUAUACAUCAUGUGAUUCAAAACUCAAUACAUUAUAUAUCAAUACAAAUGUAGAACAUAUAUCAUGUGAUUUAACGCUCAUGUAUUAUUAUGUGUGUUUGCUUA